CCUUCGGGGUACUCGAGCGGCGAACGGGUGAGUAACACGUGAGCAACCUGCCCCAGGCUUUGGGAUAACCCCGGGAAACCGGGGCUAAUACCGAAUAUGACCUCCGAUCGCAUGGUCGGUGGUGGAAAGUUUUUCGGCUUGGGAUGGGCUCGCGGCCUAUCAGCUUGUUGGUGGGGUGAUGGCCUACCAAGGCGACGACGGGUAGCCGGCCUGAGAGGGCGACCGGCCACACUGGGACUGAGACACGGCCCAGACUCCUACGGGAGGCAGCAGUGGGGAAUAUUGCACAAUGGGCGGAAGCCUGAUCAGCGCCCCCCGUGAGGGAUAAAGGCCCUCCCGUUGUAAACUCCUUCCUCUUUCAGCAGGGACGAAGCGUAAGUGACGGUACCUGCAGAAGAAGCGCCGGCCAACUACGUGCCAGCAGCCGCGGUAAGACGUAGGGCGCGAGCGUUGUCCGGAUUUAUUGGGCGUAAAGAGCUCGUAGGCGGCUUGUCGCGUCGACCGUGAAAACCUGGGGCUCAACCCCAGGCCUGCGGUCGAUACGGGCAGGCUAGAGUUC
rnacentral:rRNA from 1 species